rnacentral:rRNA from 1 species
GUGGGGAAUAUUGGACAAUGGGCGAAAGCCUGAUCCAGCCAUGCCGCGUGUGUGAAGAAGGUCUUCGGAUUGUAAAGCACUUUAAGUUGGGAGGAAGGGCAGUAAGUUAAUACCUUGCUGUUUUGACGUUACCAACAGAAUAAGCACCGGCUAACUUCGUGCCAGCAGCCGCGGUAAUACGAAGGGUGCAAGCGUUAAUCGGAAUUACUGGGCGUAAAGAGCGCGUAGGUGGUUUUGUAAGUUGGAGGUGAAAUCCCCGGGCUCAACCUGGGAACUGCCUCCAAAACUGCAUGACUAGAGUACGGUAGAGGGUAGUGGAAUUUCCUGUGUAGCGGUGAAAUGCGUAGAUAUAGGAAGGAACACCAGUGGCGAAGGCGACUACCUGGACUGAUACUGACACUGAGGUGCGAAAGCGUGGGGAGCAAACAGGAUUAGAAACCCGAGUAGUCC